rnacentral:rRNA from 1 species
CCUACGGGAGGCUGCAGUGAGGAAUCUUGGUCAAUGGGCGCGAGCCUGAACCAGCCAAGUCGCGUGAGGGAGGACGGCCCUACGGGUUGUAAACCUCUGUUGCCGGGGAGCAACGGGCGUAACGUGUGGCGCCACUGAGAGUACCCGGAGAAACAGCAUCGGCUAACUCCGUGCCAGCAGCCGCGGUAAUACGGAGGAUGCGAGCGUUAUCCGGAUUUAUUGGGUUUAAAGGGUGCGUAGGCGGAUCGUUAAGUCAGUGGUGAAAUUGAGGGGCUCAACCCCUUGCCGCCAUUGAAACUGGCGCUCGUGAGUGGAAGAGAAGUAUGCGGAAUGCGUGGUGUAGCGGUGAAAAGGAUAG